UCAUCACCAAAGGAUGCAGUACUA
rnacentral:misc_RNA from 1 species